GACGAACGCUGGCGGCGUGCUUAACACAUGCGAGUCGAACGGAAAGGCCCUUCGGGGUACUCGAGUGGCGAACGGGUGAGUAACACGUGGGUGAUCUGCCCUGCACUUUGGGAUAAGCCUGGGAAACUGGGUCUAAUACCGAAUAUGAUCAUCGGCUUCAUGGUCGGUGGUGGAAAGCUUUUGCGGUGUGGGAUGGGCCCGCGGCCUAUCAGCUUGUUGGUGGGGUAAUGGCCUACCAAGGCGACGACGGGUAGCCGGCCUGAGAGGGUGACCGGCCACACUGGGACUGAGAUACGGCCCAGACUCCUACGGGAGGCAGCAGUGGGGAAUAUUGCACAAUGGGCGCAAGCCUGAUGCAGCGACGCCGCGUGAGGGAUGACGGCCUUCGGGUUGUAAACCUCUUUCAGCACAGACGAAGCGCAAGUGACGGUAUGUGCAGAAGAAGGACCGGCCAACUACGUG
rnacentral:rRNA from 1 species